rnacentral:rRNA from 1 species
UAUGUUCGUCGCAGAGUCAUUUUUACUAAAGAUAACCUUAUUAAGAGAAAUUGGCAUGGAAGUCCGCAAUGUGUCUUUUGUCACCAUGAUGAGACAAUAAAACAUUUACUCUUCCAGUGCAAAUUGGCUUGUUCUAUAUGGCCAGUCAUCCAAAUAGCUUUUGGCUUGUAUCCUUCCUAUAGUGUUGUUAAUGUAUUUGGCAACUAG